rnacentral:rRNA from 1 species
AUUGAACGCUGGCGGCAGGCCUAACACAUGCAAGUCGAACGAGUGGCGGACGGGUGAGUAAUGUCUGGGAAACUGCCUGAUGGAGGGGGAUAACUACUGGAAACGGUAGCUAAUACCGCAUACCAUCAGAUGUGCCCAGAUGGGAUUGGCUAGUUGGUGGGGUAACGGCUCACCAAGACGACGAUCCCUAGCUGGUCUGAGAGGAUGACCGGCCACACUGGAACUGGGACACGGUCCGGAUUCCUACGGGAGGAGGCGUUGGGGAAUAUUGCACAAGGGGCGCAAGCCGGAUGCAGCCAUGCCGCGUGUAUGAAGAAGGCCUUCGGGUUUUAAAGUACUUUCAGCGGGGAGGCGUUACCCGCAGAAGAAGCACCGGCUAACUCCGUGCCAGCAGCCGCGGUAAUUC